rnacentral:rRNA from 11 species
GCGCCGUACCCGGGCGAAUGCGUCUGCCAGGGAUAUUUUCACUGAUCAAGAACGAAAGUUGGGGUAUCGAGGGCGAUCCGAA